UAUAUCAGAAGAGACAGCUUCUCCAGGAAGGGGCAGCAAGAGAGACAGCCUCCGCUGUCUCAGUGAAAAAAGUAUUGCAUUUUUUCAUUUUCUGAUUUCAAGAUUGAUCGCAGGAACAACUACCGCAAUCAGCCUUGAGCUUGAUGAAAGCACAGAUGUUUCCCUGCUUUGUCAGCUUGAUCUGCACAUCAGAUACCUGGAUAAAGAGGGACUGGUUUUUAACCAGUUCCUCGACAUUGUGACAGUCAGUGAUGGCAAGGCUGAUACCAUUGUCACUGCUGUGAAAGCUGUCCUGCAGAACAAGCAGGUGCCAACAGAGAAACUCUGCGGGCUUGGCACUGAUGUUUUUAAGAAAGAAAUGUAUGUGUAGUUUGCCUUGUUGUGUUAUUUGACAUGUAAACACAGUGCGUGUAAAUGGGGUUGCUAAGCAGCUGACCGACAGCUUCCCCAUGAUCGUUGCCGUGGCCUGUGCCGCCCACCGCCUUGCCCUGGCCUGUAAGGAUGCAUCAAAUGAUGUGAAAUACAUGGAGACCUUCCUGGACCACCUGCAGGAACUACACUUGUUAUUCCAUCACAGUGCAAACUGGACAGCAGCACUGAAGGCAGCGGCUAUCACCCUGGGACUGUCUGACUUGAAGAUGAAGGACGUAAAAGACACAAGGUGGCUAUCUCAGCACCUGGCCAUUGAGAUACUCCAAAGAAAUCUCACAGCUGUGCUUGCCACAUUGGCAGAGGAGGCAGAGCUUAAACAAUGCCCAAUCGCCAAGGGCCUGUACACCUUUUGUGCGACCUACAGGUUUGUGGCAUCGGUGUACCUCCAGGCUGACAUAUUGCCACAUCUAGCACGGCUUUCAAAAGUCUUCCAACAGGCAAAUGUCAACUUCCUUCAAAAGUUUAAAGUUAAAAAGAAAUUAUUCAAUUUAACCUGCAGACACACUUUUUCACUUAACUCAAAACUUUAAGGCAGCCCUUUCACUCGUGUAUUUAAACAACUAAUUAGAUUUUACAGUGUGGGAGCGAUCCGCAGCUAUAAUCCUGUUUCUGCUUUGUAUAAUUUGAUUCAUAGUAAUUGACUGGGCACCUAUAAUCAUCUGUUAAUCACCUUUAUGGAUACAAUAAAAAUAGUUUAUGCUGCAAUGUAUGCAGCACACUGUAAAAUCAAUGAGGUGAAUAAAAUUUAAACUUUAUUGUGAA